GAUAUUCCAUGCUUCCAAGAAAAGCAUCUAGAGAGAGAAGUAGUGCCCGUACCGCAAACCGACACAGGUAGAUGAGGAGAGAAUCCUAAGGCCGGCGGAAGAAUUGCAGUUAAGGAACUAGGCAAAUUGACCCCGUAAGUUCGCGAGAAGGGGUGCCUGCGAGAGCAGGCCGCAGAGAAUAGGCCCAAGCAACUGUUUAGCAAAAACACAGGUCUCUGCUAAAGCGUAAGCUGAUGUAUAGGGGCUGACGCCUGCCCGGUGCUGGAAGGUUAAGGGGAACACUUAGCGCAAGCGAAGGUGUGAACUUAAGCCCCAGUAAACGGCGGCCGUAACUAUAACGGUCCUAAGGUAGCGAAAUUCCUUGUCAGGUAAGUUCUGACCCGCACGAAUGGCGUAAUGACUUGGGCACUGCCUCAACUGCAAAUCCGGCGAAGUUGUAGUGCGAGUGAAGAUGCUCGCUACCCGCGAUUGGACGGAAAGACCCCGUAGAGCUUUACUGUAGCUUAGCAUUGAAUUCCGGUAUUGUCUGUACAGGAUAGGUGGGAGACUGGGAAACUAAGGCGUCAGCCUUAGUGGAGUCAACCUUGGGAUACCACCCUGACAGUACUGGGGUUCUAACAGGACGCCAUGAAUCUGGUGACUGGACAUUGUUAGGUGGGCAGUUUGACUGGGGCGGUCGCCUCCUAAAAAGUAACGGAGGCGCCCAAAGGUUCCCUCAGAACGGUCGGAAAUCGUUCGUAGAGUGCAAAGGCAGAAGGGAGCCUGACUGCGAGACAUACAAGUCGAGCAGGGACGAAAGUCGGGCUUAGUGAUCCGGUGGUACCUCGUGGGAGGGCCAUCGCUCAACGGAUAAAAGCUACCUCGGGGAUAACAGGCUGAUCUCCCCCAAGAGUCCACAUCGACGGGGAGGUUUGGCACCUCGAUGUCGGCUCGUCGCAUCCUGGGGCUGUAGUAGGUCCCAAGGGUUGGGCUGUUCGCCCAUUAAAGCGGCCCGCGAGCUGGGUUCAGAACGUCGUGAGACAGUUCGGUCCCUAUCCGUCGCGGGCGUAGGAAAUUUGAGAGGAGCUGUCCUUAGUACGAGAGGACCGGGAUGGACUGACCUCUGGUGCACCAGUUGUUCCGCCAGGAGCAUGGCUGGGUAGCUAAGUCGGGAAGGGAUAAACGCUGAAAGCAUCUAAGCGUGAAGCCUCCCUCAAGAUGAGAUUUCCCAUAGCAUAAGCUAGUAAGACCCCUUGAAGAACACAAGGUUGAUAGGUCAGAGGUGUAAGUGCGGUAACGUAUUUAGCUGACUGAUACUAAUAGGUCGAGGGCUUGACC
rnacentral:rRNA from 1 species